GGAUGAACGCUGGCGGCGUGCUUAACACAUGCAAGUCGAACGAAGCACUUGUGACAGAACUCUUCGGAGGGAAGAUGCAUUUGACUGAGUGGCGGACGGGUGAGUAACGCGUGAGCAAUCUGCCUCUGUGUGCGGGAUAACAGCCGGAAACAGCUGCUAAUACCGCAUAACGUAUACGGGCCGCAUGACCUGUAUACCAAAGGUUUACUGCACAGAGAUGAGCUUGCGUCUGAUUAGAUAGUUGGCGGGGUAACGGGCCCACCAAGUCGACGAUCAGUAGCCGGACUGAGAGGUUGAACGGCCACAUUGGAACUGAGAAACGGUCCAGACUCCUACGGGAGGCAGCAGUGGGGAAUAUUGGGCAAUGGGCGAAAGCCUGACCCAGCGACGCCGCGUGAGGGAAGACGGUCUUCGGAUUGUAAACCUUUGUCAACAGGGACGAAUAAAUGACGGUACCUGUGGAGGAAGCCACGGCUAACUACGUG
rnacentral:rRNA from 1 species